ensembl:lncRNA
GGGAUUUAAUGUUAAAAAAGCAGCAAAGGUAAUGGAGAGGGAGAGACAUUUAACAGGCUUCCUUUCUUCUGCUGCCACUAUUGGCAUUUUGCUUCUGGGCCUGUUUCAUUUUCCCUUGGCAAUGAGCUCGAAUACAUCAGUGGGGACGGACUCCGCCAAAGUCCAGCUACCCCAGAUUUACCUUCGUGGACUCCCCGGAUAUCUCAAGGAAGCUGGUGGGACCAUUCCACGCAUUUUCUCUUUGAACCGAGAAGUUAUAUUUAGUCCAAAUGAGAUGGCACAGUUGCUGGAGGCAGAGUGGGGCUGGAUGAGUGAGUGGGGAUAUUCUGAAGAUCAUUCUGUAAAGCUGGCCUUAAACCUGAAGUUACCCCUGCUGACCCCUGGCGCUUACUUGGGAACAUUUGAAGGACGCUCCAUUCAGGGCCUGAACCCAGGCAUGAGAACAGAGGAAAAGAGAAAAUAAACCCCAACUUUAUCACUUCAGACUUGGAACUCAGAAAAACUUUGACUC